AUAUUAUUAGCUUAAUGGUAAAGCAGGAGAUUGCUAAUCUCUAUAAUAAAGUUGAAAUCUUUAAUAAGAUU